rnacentral:sRNA from 1 species
AUAUGCAAAAGAAAACAGAAUAAAAAA